rnacentral:rRNA from 1 species
UACGUAGGGUGCAAGCGUUAUCCGGAAUUAUUGGGCGUAAAGAGCGCGUAGGUGGUUUGUUAAGUUACCCGUUAAAUACUCAGGCUCAACCUGAGAAAUGCGGGUAAAACUGGCAGACUGGAGAAUAGCAGGGGCAAGUGGAAUUCUCGGUGUAGGAGUGAAAUCCGUUGAUAUCGAGAGGAACACCAAUGGCGAAGGCAGCUUGCUAGGCUAUUUCUGACACUGAGGCGCGAAAGCGUGGGUAGCGAACGGG